UACGUAGGGGGCAAGCGUUGUCCGGAAUCAUUGGGCGUAAAGAGCGUGUAGGCGGCCCGAUAAGUCCGCUGUGAAAGUCCAGGGCUCAACCCUGGGAUGCCGGUGGAUACUGUCGGGCUCGAGUCCGGAAGAGGAGUGUGGAAUUCCUGGUGUAGCGGUGAAAUGCGCAGAUAUCAGGAGGAACACCAAUGGCGAAAGCAGCUUUCUGGGACGGUACUGACGCUGAGACGCGAAAGCGUGGGGAGCGAACAGG
rnacentral:rRNA from 1 species